CAGGCCUCGUUUGUGUUCCAAUUGGAGUGUGGUUGGUGUGUCUGUAAUGCCGGUGGGUUUCGUGACUUCAAUCUCGUCGGUUUGAAGUUGGCUAGGUCC
rnacentral:pre_miRNA from 1 species